CCUACGGGAGGCAGCAGUGGGGAAUAUUGCGCAAUGGGCGAAAGCCUGACGCAGCGACGCCGCGUGAGGGAUGAAGGUCUUCGGGUCGUACACCUCUGUCAGCAGGGAAGAACGGUCACUGUGCUAAUCAGCAGUGAAUUGACGGUACCUGCAAAGGAAGCACCGGCUAACUCCGUGCCAGCAGCCGCUGUAAUACGGGGGGUGCGAGCGUUAAUCGGAAUUACUGGGCGUAAAGCGCUCGUAGGCGGUAUGUCAAGUCAAGGGUGAAAUCCCCGCGCUCAACGUGGGAACUGCAUUUGAAACUGGCAAACUGGAGUGAGUGAGAGGAGAGUGGAAUUCCAGGUGUAGGAGUGAAAUCCGUAGAUAUCUGGAGGAACAUCAGUGGCGAAGGCGACUAUCUGGCACAUAACUGACGCUGAGGAGCGAAAGCGUGGGUAGCAAACAGGAUUAGAUACCCAGUAGUC
rnacentral:rRNA from 1 species